rnacentral:rRNA from 1 species
GUUUGAUCCUGGCUCAGGAUGAACGCUAGCUACAGGCUUAACACAUGCAAGUCGAGGGGAAACGACAUCGAAAGCUUGCUUUUGAUGGGCGUCGACCGGCGCACGGGUGAGUAACGCGUAUCCAACCUGCCCAUCACUUGGGGAUAACCUUGCGAAAGUAAGACUAAUACCCAAUGAUAUCUCUAGAAGACAUCUGAAAGAGAUUAAAGAUUUAUCGGUGAUGGAUGGGGAUGCGUCUGAUUAGCUUGUUGGCGGGGUAACGGCUCACCAAGGCGACGAUCAGUAGGGGUUCUGAGAGGAAGGUCCCCCACAUUGGAACUGAGACACGGUCCAAACUCCUACGGGAGGCAGCAGUGAGGAAUAUUGGUCAAUGGACGAGAGUCUGAACCAGCCAAGUAGCGUGCAGGAUGACGGCCCUAUGGGUUGUAAACUGCUUUUAUAAGGGAAUAAAGUGAGUCUCGUGAGACUUUUUGCAUGUACCUUAUGAAUAAGGACCGGCUAAUUCCGUGCCAGCAGCCGCGGUAAUACGGAAGGUCCGGGCGUUAUCCGGAUUUAUUGGGUUUAAAGGGAGCGUAGGCCGGAGAUUAAGCGUGUUGUGAAAUGUAGACGCUCAACGUCUGCACUGCAGCGCGAACUGUUUUCCUUGAGUACGCACAAAGUGGGCGGAAUUCGUGGUGUAGCGGUGAAAUGCUUAGAUAUCACGAAGAACUCCGAUUGCGAAGGCAGCUCACUGGAGCGCAACUGACGCUGAAGCUCGAAAGUGCGGGUAUCGAACAGGAUUAGAUACCCUGGUAGUCCGCACGGUAAACGAUGGAUGCCCGCUGUUGGUCUGAAUAGGUCAGCGGCC